rnacentral:tRNA from 1 species
GGGUUGUAGCUCAGUGGUAGAGUGCUUGCCUUGCAAGCGUGAGGCCCUGGGUUUGAUCCUCAGCCCCA